GACGAACGCUGGCGGCGUGCCUAACACAUGCAAGUCGAACGGGGUGAUUCCUUCGGGGAUCACUUAGUGGCGAACGGGUGAGUAACGCGUGAGGAACCUGCCCUUCAGUGGGGGACAACAGUUGGAAACGACUGCUAAUACCGCAUAAUGUUACCGGAUGGCAUCAUCUGGUAACCAAAGCUUUAUGUGCUGAAAGAUGGCCUCGCGUCUGAUUAGCUAGUUGGUGAGGUAACGGCUCACCAAGGCGACGAUCAGUAGCCGGUCUGAGAGGAUGAACGGCCACAUUGGGACUGAGAUACGGCCCAGACUCCUACGGGAGGCAGCAGUGGGGAAUAUUGGGCAAUGGGGGAAACCCUGACCCAGCAACGCCGCGUGAAGGAAGAAGGCCUUCGGGUUGUAAACUUCUUUUAGCAGGGACGAAGAACGUGACGGUACCUGCAGAAAAAGCAACGGCUAACUACGUGCCAGCAGCCGCCGUAACAC
rnacentral:rRNA from 1 species